AUCUGGGGCAGUGGGGCACAAUCCACAGAUCUACCAUCAUUAUGGAAAGAUGGUCCUGCUCUGUUGUGUUUUCAGGAAAAACGAAAGGGCUCCCAGGCCUGCUUGAUGCUUCCAGAUGCCUGGUGACAGGAAUCAAGAACCAGGGAAAGGCCUCAGGAUGCUGAGUUCAGAAAUUGUGAGGAUCGAGGGGUGAGAAAUCGAGAGCAGAUGAGGAAGCUGGUUCUCGUCAAGAUUAACUGACUUGCCCCAAAUUACACAACCUGUAAAUGCAUAAGGAGGAACCACAUCAAUUAUCUGCCUCUGAGGCACACAUUUAAAACAUUUCCUCUGCUGCUUUCAUUUCCUAAUGUCCUGGGGCCAACCUGAGGCUCAUCUGAGGGAGGUGUCUGAGCUUCAUGCAAGAGACCUUGAUGUGUUCUAAUGGCUAAUGCAGAGUCUUUGCUCACAUGUCUACAUACUGAGUACCAUGCUGAAUGCCAGCUUAUUGUAAUCUCAGUGCACCAGAGAUCUAUGAGAAUUUGUGACACAGGAAUCUCUGGACUGGGGAAGCUGAGCAAGUUUUCUUUGAAGAGUGAAGGUGAGUUUAUCUGGAAGAAGAGUCAGGAGAAGAAUGGGGUAGAAUAUUGAAGACAGAAGAAACCAAACACGUAAAAACCCUGGAGCAGGCAGAAUGAAUGGAGAGGAGGGUCCCAAAGCUGUAAGAGAGAAAACUACUUGAGCAGAGGCCCCAGCUGGGCUGGUGGCCCCGAGGCUGACUGCGGUGUGUGCUCCUCCCUCAGGAGGCCAUUGCCUUGCUUGACAUCUCCUGGGCAAGUCUCCACAGAACCUCUUAUCAAACUCCAAAGUCAUCUUCUUCCACACGUUGUGCUAUUAGAGAUUAGAGGAGUUAAUGUAGGUGCAGCUUCCUCACAGAAAAUGCAAGACACACAAGGGCUGCUUUCAGCAUUCUGCUUGAUCGUGCACAGCUAGACGCAGAGCACUCAGGAGCACACAGGAGGCCAUGAUAUAUCAAGUGGAUAAAAAAUAAGUAAGACUAUUUCCUGUGCCUGAGUUUUCUUGAAAGAUGAGCCUGAAACAAGGAUUAAAGUGCUGACAUUGUUUCAAGACCCAGGCUGUGAAAAUGAGAGGAAAAAUCAGCGAGACAAAGGGACAAUUUCAGCACUGCAG
rnacentral:lncRNA from 1 species